GAAAGCCUGAUCCAGCCAUGCCGGGUGAGAGAAAAAGGCCUUCGGGUUGUAAACUGCUUUUGCCCGGAACGAAAAAGUCUUUUUUAAUAAAGAAGGCUCAUGACGGUUCCGUAAAAAUAAGCCCCGGCUAACUACGUGCCAGCAGCCGCGGUAAUACGUAGGGGGCAAGCGUUAAUCGGAAUUACUGGGCGUAAAGCGUGCGCAGGCGGUUAUAUAAGACAGAUGUGAAAUCCCCGGGCUCAACCUGGGAACUGCCUUAGAGACUGUAUAGCUAGAGUGCGGCAAAGGGGGAUGGAAUUCCGCGUGUACCAGUAAAAUGCGUAGAUAUGCGGAGGAACACCGAUGGCGAAGGCAUUCCCCUGGGCCUGCACUGACGCUCAUGCAC
rnacentral:rRNA from 1 species